AUCCCAGAUAAAACUAUUUUUGGUGUUUAUCUGAUCCAUGGGAAGGACAUAGUAACUAUGGAAGUUUCGCUGAUAACACCUUUUGCUAUACUGGGAGGUGUUUUACUAGUGGCUUUCCAAACAUGA